CCCGCCUCCUGAGGACGGGUGAGUUCGCUGCUACCUGAGAUAGUGGUCGGGAGAGUUUGAGGGUUUGCGAAAGAGUUUACUGAUCGAUCCGAAUAAAAGUGAAAUGUGUGGUCGGGCGCGGUGGCCCACGCCUGUAAUCCCAGCACUGUGUGAGGCGGGGGCGAGCGGAUCACCUGGGGUCAGGAGUUCGAGACCAGCCUGGCCAACAUGGCGAAACCCCGUCUCAAUUAAAAAUACAAACAUUAGCCGGGCAUGGUGGCGGGCGCCUGUAAUCCCAGCUACUCGCCUGUAAUCCCAGCUGAGGAAGGAAAAUCGCUAGAACCCGGGAGGCGGAGGCUGCAGUGAGCCGAGAUCUUGCCAUUGCACUCCAGCCUGGGCGACAAGAGCGAAACUCCGUCUCAAAAAAAGAAAGAAAAUAAAAAGUGAAAUGUGGAUGUAACAACGCACUUUUAAAAAAAGUCUAAACAUCUGAGGAAUGUGUCUGUGCUUGCAGUGUCCAGCCAGCACAGAGACUGCACUCAAGGGAUGUGGGAACGGCUGAUUGAACGUGAACUGCGGUCAUUAAAUCUUUUAUGUCUGUGUUAAUAUCUACAAAUAAGCCUUAAUUUCUGUAGUUUCUGCAUAUCUCACACGGUUCCUGGCAAAUUGAAGAGUGUUUCAUGAAUUCAGGACUUUAUUGUGUUUGCUGUGAAUCAGUUUGUUUUGUACUGACGAUGAUGUUGGCUAACUCCCUUGUAACUAGUACUUAUUUGAAAUAAUGUCCUCGGGAUUAUUUUAAGCAAUGUUUAAGUAUGAAAUCAUUUCAUUCUCCUAACAUCUCAAGGAAUAUACUAUUAUAUUCUACUUUACAAAAGGGGAAACUGAGGAACGGGGAAGUUAAGUGGAAGCUAAGUGGAAGAAUCCAGAUAAUUGACCUCUCCUUCUAUUGGUAUGCAAUUGCUAGAGCAAUGAUAGUCCUCCGGUAGAGCCUUAGACAUUGUGUUUAUUGCAUUCCUGUUCCACCCACUGCAUUCCGGAUACUCCAACUUACUUCCAACACACAUAUGCAGGCGUCUCUAAAAUUCCGGAGAUAUGGUCACCAAUUAUUUUUAUGUGCGACAUGCUCAAAUCUUAAUAUAGUAAACGCUUGUAUAUUCAUAAACCAGCUUAAUAAAUGAAACAUUACCAUUCCUGUUGAAGAGCUUUGUGUAACCACCUUCC
rnacentral:lncRNA from 1 species